UUUAUAAAACUCAGUUGUAAAACCAUCCAGACCAGGAGAUUUUCCAUUUUUCAUAUUUUUUAAUGCAUUAUGAAUUUCUGAGCUUUUUAGUUCCCCCUCUAAAUUAAUAUUUUGUUCAUCAGAGAGAAUUUUGAUAAAUGGGUUUUCAAGAGAAAAGAAAUUAGCUCGGUAUGUAUUAUUUAUAAGUGUUUUCUUAGAUGAAUAUAGAUUCUCAUAAUAUAACUUUUGUUCCGCACGAAUUUUUGCUUGAUCAGUGAUAAAUUCACCAUUAUCUAAAGUUAAUUUUUGUAUUACUUUGUCAAUAUAAUUUCUUUUCUCUAGAUUACAGAAAUAUUUUGUACUUCUCUCCCCUUCAAUUUGCCAUUUAGCUUUUGCUCUCAUUAUUGCCCCUUUUAUUCUAGAUUCUCUGAGCGACCUUAACUGAAGUUCAAUACGUGUAAUGUCUUCCCUUUUAUCAUUGAUAUUUUCAUUAUUGUUCAAAUUGUUCAAUUGACUUUCUACUUCUUGUUCUUCCCUACUGCGUUCUUUCUUUUUAAAAGAUGAAUAAGAAAUUGUUUUUCCUCGUAUCAUCAGUUUUAAAGUUUCCCAAAACAGUUGGUCGGAAAUGGAAAAUUCUAUUUCUUCCCUAUUUUCAGAAUCAACUAUUUUAUAUUGAUCAAUACAAUCAGCAAUACAAGUUUUAGUAUUAGUAAUAAAUUCUUUGUCGUAUAAUAAAGCAUUGUUAAAUUUCCACGUCCCUUUGCCUUUUUCAUUUGUAUUAAAUUGAAUGGACAGAGAUAUGGGUGAGUGAUCAGACCUAUAUGCAACACCAAUAUCACACGAGGUUAUCAGUGGUUGAAAAUCAGAUGAGACAAGGAAGUAGUCCAGUCUUGCCUGCUUCUUGUUAGGUCCUCUCCAGGAAAACCUCUUUUUUUCUGGGUAUAAUUCCCUAUAAACAUCAACCAGAUCUAUUUCUGACAUCAUUUCAUUAACCUUUUUUUGAGCUUUAGGAUUAUUUUU
rnacentral:lncRNA from 1 species